rnacentral:rRNA from 1 species
GACAGAGGGGGCAAGCGUUGCUCGGAAUCACUGGGCGUAAAGGGCGCGUAGGCGGGCAUUCAAGUCUGUGGUGAAAUCCGGCAGCUUAACUGUCGAAUUGCCAUGGAUACUGGGUGUCUCGAGGGAGGCAGGGGUGCGCGGAACUAAUGGUGGAGCGGUGAAAUGCGUUGAUAUCAUUAGGAACUCCGGUGGCGAAGGCGGCGCACUGGUCCUUUUCUGACGCUGAGGCGCGAAAGCCAGGGGAGCAAACGGG